GACGAACGCUGGCGGCGUGCUUAACACAUGCAAGUCGAGCGGUAAGGCCCUUUCGGGGUACACGAGCGGCGAACGGGUGAGUAACACGUGGGUGACCUGCCCUCAGCUCUGGGAUAAGCCUGGGAAACCGGGUCUAAUACUGGAUAUGACUCCAUGACGCAUGUUGUGGGGUGGAAAGCCUUGUGCGGCUGAGGAUGGGCCCGCGGCCUAUCAGCUUGUUGGUGGGGUGANGGCCUACCAAGGCGACGACGGGUAGCCGGCCUGAGAGGGCGACCGGCCACACUGGGACUGAGACACGGCCCAGACUCCUACGGGAGGCAGCAGUGGGGAAUCUUGCGCAAUGGGCGAAAGCCUGACGCAGCGACGCCGCGUGAGGGAUGACGGCCUGGU
rnacentral:rRNA from 1 species